UGGGGAAUAUUGGACAAUGGGCGCAAGCCUGAUCCAGCCAUGCCGCGUGAACGAUGAAGGCCUUAGGGUUGUAAAGUUCUUUUGUCAGGGAAGAUAAUGACGGUACCUGAAGAAUAAGCACCGGCUAACUUCGUGCCAGCAGCCGCGGUAAUACGAAGGGUGCUAGCGUUGUUCGGAAUCACUGGGCGUAAAGCGCGCGUAGGCGGCGAUAUAAGUCAGAGGUGAAAGCCUGGAGCUCAACUCCAGAACUGCCUUUGAAACUAUAUUGCUAGAGUGUCGGAGGGGAUAGCGGAAUUGCUAAUGUAGCAGUGAAAUGCGUAGAUAUUGGAAGGAACAUCAGUGGCGAAGGCGACUUCCUGGACAGAUACUGACACUGAGGCACGAAAGCGUGGGGAGCAAACAGGAUUAGAUACCCGGGUAGUCCCUGAGCGGGCUGGCAAGGCGCAU
rnacentral:rRNA from 1 species